UACGUAGGGUCCGAGCGUUGUCCGGAAUUACUGGGCGUAAAGAGCUCGUAGGUGGUUUGUCGCGUUGUCCGUGAAAACUCACAGCUCAACUGUGGGCGUGCGGGCGAUACGGGCAGACUGGAGUACUGCAGGGGAGACUGGAAUUCCUGGUGUAGCGGUGGAAUGCGCAGAUAUCAGGAGGAACACCGGUGGCGAAGGCGGGUCUCUGGGCAGUAACUGACGCUGAGGAGCGAAAGCGUGGGGAGCGAUCCGG
rnacentral:rRNA from 1 species